rnacentral:rRNA from 1 species
UACGUAGGGUGCAAGCGUUGCCCGGAUUUAUUGGGCGUAAAGGGCUCGUAGGCGGCCAACUAAGUCGGACGUGAAAUCCCUCGGCUUAACCGGGGAACUGCGUCCGAUACUGGAUGGCUUGAGUUUGGGAGAGGGAUGCGGAAUUCCAGGUGUAGCGGUGAAAUGCGUAGAUAUCUGGAGGAACACCGGUGGCGAAGGCGGCAUCCUGGACCAACACUGACGCUGAGGAGCGAAAGCCAGGGGAGCAAACGGG